AGCAGGCCGGACAGCUGCGGGCAGUGCGCGAAAGCGCCUGUCCGAGGAAAGUCCGGGCUCCAUAGGGCAAGAAUAACGGCUAACGGCCGCCGGGGGCGACCCCAGGGAAAGUGCAACAGAGAGAUACCGCCUGUUUUACAGGUAAGGGUGGAAAGGCGAGGUAAGAGCUCACCGGCGUCAGGGGAACCUGACGGCCCUGCAAACCCUAUUCGGAGCAACACCGUGGAGAGACACAUGCGCCGGCCCGGCGCGUCUUGCGGAGGUGGCAUCGAGCGUGCGCGGCAACGCGGCGCCAAGAUAGAUGGCUGUUCAAGACAGAACCCGGCUUACAGGCCUGGUCG
rnacentral:RNase_P_RNA from 1 species